AUGAGAUUGCUUGACCCAUUAUGCAGCCACAGCCAUAAGAAAUACACUGUGCUCCUGUUAUUGCUUUUUACCAUUUGCAACCCACUUGGAAAGUACAUCAAUUCAAUACUGGAAUGGUCAACAUGGAGAUAAGAAGACAGUUUUCUUCCCCAUGGUUUUAGUAUAAAAGGAUUUAUGCAGCUUUUACUGUUCUCAUUGAGGACUGGCCUGAGUCUUUCUUGCAUGUGAUUUUAUGGCUUGUUUGCUUUUCUGCAUUACUCAGUGGAUGUUGGUGAUAAGGUUGCAGUUUAUGAGUGGUUAAAUUUGUUAAUAUUAAUAGCUAGAGAUACCAAAAGCUGUUGUGCACUGCUGUGAUCAUAUUAACUUUCCAAGCAAAAUUUCCUGAACAGAAAUAGCUUGUCUGUCCUAGAUCAAAACAGCCAUCAGGCUUCCAUUUAAAAUUUCACUGAUUCUGCAUCUGUAUUCUAGUCUGGUUCAAGCCAAAGAACACUGUGUACAUUAGCAUUUCACAACUUAAUAAUUGUUCUCAAACAGUUUGAGUUUCUGUAGAGACUGUUGGAAUUUUAUCUAUUGCUUUUCUUAGAGAAAAAACAGUUCUAUUCAAAAUACUGCAAGGAAAAUUAACAGGGAAAUACUAAAAAAAGAAUGAGAGUAUAAAAUCUUUUUUCCCAAAUCUUUACAUAUAUUAAAUUCUUUGUGAAGCACUCAUUCAGUUAUGCUAGCAAAGGAUACCACAACAUUAAUUUGCAAAAUAGCAUGGAAGGUAAAGCUCUUCUGUUCUUUCACUUGUUGAAACCUUCAGUGAUACUGUUAAUCAACUAGAAGCACUGCUGGGCCCUGAGUUUUCAUCUUUUUAUGUAGGUGAAUGAAACAUUGACUGUUUGAUAUCAGUGUAUUUAUUGGCAAUUUGAAGAUUUUGUUCUUCCUGACAGGGCUUCUGAAUUUCCCUUUAUCUGCAGAAGUAUCAUUGAGAGGAAAAUAUAGGGAUGCAAGUCUAAUCAACUUUUUUCCUUUCGGAAACAAGUGCUCCAAUAGGUUUAUAUUAAAG
rnacentral:lncRNA from 1 species